UGAAUACGAACGCUCCUGGAGCCAUGUGC
rnacentral:sRNA from 1 species